rnacentral:rRNA from 1 species
UACGGAGGGUGCGAGCGUUGUCCGGAAUCAUUGGGCGUAAAGCGCGCGUAGGCGGCUUUGCAAGUCGAGUGUGAAAUCCCCAGGCUUAACCUGGGAACUGCAUUCGAGACUGCAUAGCUAGAGUAUGGGAGAGGGAUGCGGAAUUCCAGGUGUAGCGGUGAAAUGCGUAGAUAUCUGGAGGAACACCGGUGGCGAAGGCGGCAUCCUGGACCGGCAUUGACGCUGAGGCGCGAAAGCCAGGGGAGCAAAGCGGG